AAGUCGUAACAAGGUCUCCGUAGGUGAACCUGCGGAGGGAUCAUUACAAGUGAACAACCCUUCGGGGCCUGUCUCAUAACCCUUUGUUGUCCGACCACGUUGCCUCCGGGGCGACCCUGCCUUCGGGCGGGGGCUCCGGGUGGACAAUUCAAACUCUUGCGUAACUUUGCAGUCUGAGUAAAUUUAAUUAAUAAAUUAAAACUUUCAACAACGGAUCUCUUGGUUCUG
rnacentral:misc_RNA from 1 species